GCCAUGCCAAAAGCUGUGAGGUAUGUUCCCUGCAGAUGAGGACAGUGAGGAAUCUCUGAAGCUAGAAGACAUAAAAGGAAGAUGGAACACAAAACAGCAAAGCUGCGGACACACGAGCCCUACAGAGGCUGAAAGCUCCAUGGUUUUUUGGUCCCUGCAGCAACUAGAACAGUACCUGGCAGACACAAGACACGUAAUACAUAUUUUUGAAUGAGGAACUUGGCUCCAGAAGCCAUGAGAAUAACUUUGUUCCAACACAUUCAGGCUGCGGUCAGAAAGGGUGAGCUGGAAGCAGUGAGCUGGGAGAUAAUGAAACCAAAACACCAUUAUCAGGAAGCUUGAGAACAAGGCCACCUUUUAAGUAUCUAGAAAUUCCCAUUAAUUUCUUCCACACCUUGUUCCCCAUCCCACCUGAAGACUGAAGCUGAGAGGCUUUUUUCCCAGUCAUCUUGACCACAAGAUCAGUUCUCUCCGUGAACAUAAAGACAAAAUCGCUGUGACACCAACAGACAGAUUUUUUAACAAGUGGAAUCCAUGUCUCAUGUAAACAAUGUGCUACUGCCUGCCAUUGAGUUCUCUUCCCUCGUUUUCCUUUUUGAAGACUUAACCCCUUUCCCAAAGGGACAUGUGCUCAGGUUUCUUGACUCCACAGCAAUCCCUUCUGUUGUGUAAGGCAAACUGAUCACCUUUCACAACGAGACAAGAAGUGAUUUAAAUCAGAUGGUGACCCAAUGACAAUGUCUGUGCUGUGUCCUAUGGAGAAAACCAAAGCUGAAAUCCAGUAACAGGUGAUAGGAAGAUGUGGAGAUAGAAACUGACCUGAAUUCUGAAAAACAACAAGAGAAAAGGAAGUCUGAGAACAAGCUGGUGUUCUUCCAAAACCUGUUCAUUGUGUGAAUUCCUAGAAGAUAGCGUGACACCGAGAAACAGGCUGGAGUGACACACCCAAACAAUUAUGCUACCUGGAUCUGCCAAGGCAGGAGGACAAACUCAGCAGCCUGGAGAAUGGAGGACACAGUCCAGAGUUGGUGAGCCAAGUUUUCUUCUGUUUGUUUUGCUGUUGCUGUUUUUGUUCUUGUUGACCUAUUGAGUUCUAUGAUGAGACCAAACGUUUAAUAAUUGUCUUCUAUUCUAAAACUUGUCUCUCAGCAACAACAGCAGCAAUUACUUUUGACCACUCACUAUCGGAAAACACUGCUUUAGGCUGUGGAAAUGCAGUAGUAGAAAAGCCAGGCAUAAUCCUUAUCCCCAUGGAGGCACUAUCUCCAUCCAAGGGCAGAGGACCUGCAAGCCCUGAGGUCUCCAGCUGAGGUUCCUCUCUGAAGGACAGUUGCACUUCAGGUCAUGCUGCAGUAUGAGAGAAGGCAGCGUGACAUCUUGAGUUUCUAAUGCUCACACCUGUCUCAGUGAAGCAUUUUUACAGAGUAAUCACCACCCCCCUCACACCCCCAACAAUGUCAUCAAGUCAUAAAUCUCCUUGGUUUGAAAUAUUGGAUUAAAAUAUGAUUAAACAAUAUGUCUCAAUGGAAAGUUAAGAUAUGUGUGCAUUCUCUAUCCUCAAACAAUCCUGGAAUGCCCC
rnacentral:lncRNA from 1 species